UGGCAAGUCAGAUGGGACACUAGCGUGAAUGGGCGUGUCACUCAUCGGUUUAUACGGGAGGUUACAUUUGCCGGCAGCCGACCAGACUUUGGGUUCGGCCUGAGUCUUGGAUUCCUGUUGACUGGUCACGGUUCCCUCAAUGCAUUCUUGCAUUCGAGGAACCUUUAUGACAGUCCAGAAUGCCGUUGUGGCUCGGCUGCUGAGACAUGGGAGCAUGUUCUCUGUGAGUGCACAAGGUAUGCAGAUUUUCGAGAUCUGAGGGGGAUGGGUAUAAGUGAGGUUAGUGGCGGGUUUGACGUAAGUCAAUCACUCUCCACUAGUGAUAGGGUUAGAAGAAUGAGUGAGUUUGCUAGAGCUGCAUUUUCCAGGCGACGUUUGCAAUUGCAGGAAGGAAUUGUAUGAAUGAUGAUGGAUGGUAGAUGUGAGAAUGUGGGGGUACGAAUGUGGGGGUGUUUCUGAAUGGUAAUUUUUGUUGAACAUUGUGUUGUGAUGGGGCUACCAACCCUUAACUGUUUUGGAGUUUAAAUUGGAAGUGCCCUUCUGGUACGAGGCCUGACCGGAGGCUUUUAAUCUGGUACCACGGGUAACCAGGAGCCCACGGAACUUGUUCCGUCCUGGUUAGUUGGUGCGGCCCUUCGGGGAGUAUCGUGGUGGUUGUGGUUUAACACCCAAAUGCGGGUAGAGCAUCGCUCGACGUGGAGUUGCGUCAUACAACCGGGUUCCGUGACCCAGAUUACGGAAGAGGCUUAGAUAGUCCUCGUGCCAAACCAAGGUAGAAGUCACAACCAAACAGUCGUGUCUUUAAUUGGUACCUGCGGAAUUGUUCCAAGGGGGCGGUGAUUGACGCUUGAAUUAAUCCUAUACUAGGAACCGUGAGAUUAAGCCAUCGCGGCAGGUGCUCACGUUAAGCCCACUGACUUUCAUGUCCCUAUCUACUAUCUAGCGAAACCACAGCCAAGGGAACGGGCUUGGAAUAAUUAGCGGGGAAAGAAGACCCUUUUGAGCUUGACUCUAAUCUGGCAGUGUAAGGAGACAUAAGAGGUGUAGAAUAAGUGGGAGAUAUUAGACUUCGGUUUGGUAUCGACAAUGAAAUACCACUACUCUUAUUGUUUCCUUACUUACUUGAUUAAAUGGAACGUGUAUCAUUUCCUAGCCAUUAUACGGAUAUAAUUAUUAUGUCUUAUGGUAUUGGGUUUUGAUGCAAGCUUCUUGAUCAAAGUAUCACGAGUUUGUUAUAUAAUCGCAAACAAAUUCUUUAAUGAGAGAAUGCAUUUAUGUAUUAUUGAUUUAAAAAUUUGGUAUAACUCCAAUUACUCAGGUAUGAUCCAAUUCAAGGACAUUGCCAGGUAGGGAGUUUGACUGGGGCGGUACAUCUCUCAAAUAAUAACGGAGGUGUCCCAAGGCCAGCUCAGUGCGGACAGAAACCACACAUAGAGCAAAAGGGCAAAUGCUGACUUGAUCUCGGUGUUCAGUACACACAGGGACAGCAAAAGCUCGGCCUAUCGAUCCUUUUGGUUUAAAGAGUUUUUAACAAGAGGUGUCAGAAAAGUUACCAUAGGGGAUACUGGGCUGUGGCGGCCAAGCGUUCAUAGCGACAUUGUGGAGCAAAAUCACCAAGCGUUGGAUUGUUCACCCAUGCC
rnacentral:ncRNA from 1 species